ACCACUCUGUCAUAUACUUCGAACGAACGUGUCUCGUGACACAGAUGUUACAAUAACGAGUACGGGCAUGCUCGGGUCUUUUGCCCACAUUUCUUUGCGUUGUAUCAACAUUCCGCCCCACCCCGAAGAAACAACCAUCACUGUACGUAAAACAGGAAGCAACGAGCCAUACAUGUUCACGAAGACAGUGAAAACAACGCCAAACCGUGGAAGAAAAAACGUUAUUGUCCACGAGAAGAGAAACUUCACAUCAACAUCACAGCCUCUUAUUGUGGAUGCAUUUGAUUCAAUCUAAACGGAGAAGGUCUCUGUUGACAACAUGGGACAGCAUCUAGGAAAACGUGAGCUACAGCCGCAGAGCAAGCCUUUGUCAGCAGAACCAGAAGCAGAACAGACCAUAGAACCAGCCCCCAUUGGUGAGACCAUGGUAGAACCCGAAUCACAAGACGAGGUCUUUGGCCUGGAUGAGGCAGAUGUGAACCCGAACAAUGGCUGCCCCUCUGAGAAGGCGGCGGCGGUGACUGACUCCACGGGCACUGAGGGGCCCAGCAGCUCCUGGAACGAGGCCAGCACAGCUGAUGCUGACGACAGCGCUGUGCCACGCCCCCACCUGGUCCGCCUCUUUUCCCGAGAUGCCCCGGGCCGCGAGGACAACACCUUCAAAGACCGCCCUUCUGAAUCAGAUGAGCUACAGACCAUCCAAGAGCACAGCGGAGCGGGAUCAGAGUGUGGUUCAGAGGAUCAGGAUCUAGACUAAGUUUGUUUCUUUGCUCUCCUUUCUCUCUCUUAAUACCCCCUUCGCUCUUACCUGAGAGACAGAACCCCACUUACAGAGAUACUAGCUGCACUACCCAACAAAAACCACUGACAUGGCAACUGCAAGCUCCUCUGGACUGUCUAGCCUGGGAAGGAAAAAGAAGGCCCCUGGCCUUAUGGAUCAAAUUGGGAACUUCUUUGGAGGGGACAAGAAGAGGAAGAGCAAGGGUUCCUUCCGUGGCCUGUCCUCCUCUCCUGCCAGACCUGCCAAGGCAGCCCCUAAGGGAGGAGAGAACGCUGUUGUACGCCUCUUCAGAACGAUCGUGUCCCCUGCCCCUCCUAAGUCUAGGAAGUCAACAGGAUCCGCUAAGGCGAAGAAGGCCGGUGCAGGAGACAGCGGAACCCUGUCCAAGAUCUUCAAAAUGUGAUGAUACCCAGCACUCAGGCGCAAGCCGGACUGGGUCUCUACCCAAAAAAUGAAGUCCCCUUUCAAGAGCACAAAGGCAGAUGUCAAGAAAAGGGACGCAAGUGGGGGGAAAACAAAGAACAGAUCUUUGUCGACUCACACACCUCUCCCUGCUUUUCUAACACUUUCAUUUUAUAACUCAAGUGCCUCCCUCACCGCACCCGGCUGGUAGAUAUAGCGACACAAUCUGUGCCCCCCCGCCCCGCCCCUUGCUCCUCCCUCCCGCCUCUCCUGUGCAACCAUCUUGGAUGUGAACUGUUGCCGAAGUCAUCCGGACCCCCUCUUACAGCCUAAAGGACCCCUGUCAUAGCUUUACAGUACCUGUGUCUUCAUUUCUAUUUCUCUGUCUGUCUGUAUAGAGUCGUUUAACAAGGCUGGCUAACUGGACCAGACCUGGCUGAAGUAGCUUAGGUCCAAUUGACCUGGCCCUGACCGCUUGUGGUUGUGAAAGUGUGACCAGGUCUGGUUCUGGUUCAGAAACGAGUGAUUAUCUGUCUUGUCAUGCUUGUCUUUGUCAUUUCCCCCCCACACCCUCUCCCAUUUCCGUACAUCCUGACAUGAAUUCAUAGCUAAGCAUUGUCUUACUAAGCUUGCAUGGGUUGUUGUGAUGGCCAGUUGGUCAUGUGUUUGUAUGUCUACCCUCCUGUAUCAUCAGUGUAAGUGUCCUGUCUUAAGUGUUGCUGUCUUUCCAUGUUUUUGCAUUAGGGUCUAUGGCUGGCUGUGAUCUUUGGUGGCAAAAUGACAUCGAGCUACUGAAAGCGGUUAACCUACUAAAAUUCUCUGUCUGUAGUAUCCACUGAAUUGUAGAAGUCAAUGGAUGAUGUCAUCAUUUCUAAUGUUGUUUUCAUUUGAUUUCCAGUACAUGUAGAUUGUUUAAGACACUAAUGGGUAUGGUAUUGGGAGUUUCCCCAUCCAGAUCUAACUGAGAUGCGUCUGAAGUGCACUGUUUUGACCAUUGAAAAGCAGACACUGACUGCUCUGAAACCAAGCUCACGCUGGACCUGCUACAAGCAUGGCACUUCCAACGGGAGGACAGAUUCAGACCCUUCCCCCAUUAGUGUAGUCUUCUCUGUCUUAAGUAUCUCUUGCUUUAUAUAUAUAUAUAUAUAUAUUCUAUCUAUCGAAGCACUGCACAAAAUAUGAAUACAAAACAGCUAGCUAAGCAAUGCCAUUUCUGACUGCCAAAAACAAUGUGCUGUGUUUACUCUGUGUGGAUAUUAAAAGACCAACACUGUCAUAAAGGUGCUCGUUAUUUAACUGUGUAAAAGCAUAAACGUUAUUUUAAAAAAAGAUGAAGAUGGAUAGAGAGGACGCGGAGUUUGUCGACCAAGGCACGAGCGACGACUUGCAUAAACAGCUUAUUACUGCCACUGUACUGUCAAAUACCCCCACACCGAAGUGUCUUUCCUCCAUUCGUUUAAAAACCAACGUGUGUAAUCUGUAGCAUACUCUGCCUGCCCCCGUCUCCACUCCCCCCAUGUCUUAAUGUGUGUGCGCGCGUUUUUGUAUGGGUCCUGUGAAUGAAUGUAAAUGAAACUCUUGAGACCCUCAUUGUUGUAUCUGUAAUAAAAAGAUGUACGACCAGCCACUUAAUAACUAGAAGAAAAAAAAAAUAAAGGAAUUAAAAAUCAUAAAACCGUUA